UUCGAAGAUACACGAAGAACCUUACCUGGCCUUGACAUGGUAGGAAUCCUUAAGAGAUUAGGGGUGCUAGCUUGCUAGAACCUACACGACAGGUGCUGCACGGCUGUCGUCAGCUCGUGUCGUGAGAUGUUGGGUUAAGUCCCGCAAACGAGCGCAACCCUCGUCCUUAGUUGCUAACAGUUCGGCUGAGCACUCUAGGGAGACUGCCUUCGCAAGGAGGAGGAAGGUGAGGACGACGUCAAGUCAUCAUGGCCCUUACGGCCAGGGCUACACACGUGCUACAAUGGGGCGUACAGAGAGCUGCGAUACCGCGAGGUGGAGCCAAUCUCUUAAAGCGUCUCUCAGUUCGGAUUGUUCUCUGCAACCCGAGAACAUGAAGCUGGAAUCACUAGUAAUCGCAGAUCAGCUAUGCUGCGGUAAAUACGUUCCCGGGUCUU
rnacentral:rRNA from 1 species